CAGCCGCCGCGGUAAUACGUAGGGUGCGAGCGUUAAUCGGAUUUACUGGGCGUAAGCGUGCGCAGGCGGCCCGUUAAGACAGGUGUGAAAUCCCUGGGCUCAACCUAGGAAUUGCGCUUGUGACUGGCGGGCUCGAGUACGGUAGAGGGGGGUGGAAUUCCUGGUGUAGCAGUGAAAUGCGUAGAGAUCAGGAGGAACACCGAUGGCGAAGGCAGCCCCCUGGGCCUGUACUGACGCUCAUGCACGAAAGCGUGGGGAGCAAACAGGAUUAGAUACCCUGGUAGUCCACGCCCUAAACGAUGGGUACUAGCCGUUUGGUGCGCGAUAGCGCUGAGUGGCGAAGCUAACGCGAGAAGUACCCCGCCUGGGGAGUACGGCCGCAAGGUUGAAACUUAAAGGAAUUGGCGGG
rnacentral:rRNA from 1 species